UAAGGAAUAUUGGUCAAUGGGCGGAAGCCUGAACCAGCCAUGCCGCGUGCAGGAAGACGGCCCUAUGGGUUGUAAACUGCUUUUGUACGGGAAUAAACCUACUUACGUGUAAGUAGCUGAAUGUACUGUAAGAAUAAGGAUCGGCUAACUCCGUGCCAGCAGCCGCGGUAAUACGGAGGAUCCGAGCGUUAUCCGGAUUUAUUGGGUUUAAAGGGUGCGUAGGUGGCCUGUUAAGUCAGGGGUGAAAGACGGUAGCUCAACUAUCGCAGUGCCCUUGAUACUGAUGGGCUUGAAUGAACUAGAGGUAGGCGGAAUGUGACAAGUAGCGGUGAAAUGCAUAGAUAUGUCACAGAACACCAAUUGCGAAGGCAGCUUACUAUGGUUUGAUUGACACUGAGGCACGAAAGCGUGGGGAUCAAACA
rnacentral:rRNA from 1 species